UAUUGCGCAAUGGACGAAAGUCUGACGCAGCGACGCCGCGUGUGGGAGGAAGCUCUUCGGGGUGUAAACCACUGUCAGGAGGGAAGAAAGGCGCUGACUCGAAUAGGGUCUAGCGAUUGACGGUACCUCCAAAGGAAGCGCCGGCUAACUCCGUGCCAGCAGCCGCGGUAAUACGGAGGGUGCGAGCGUUGUCCGGAAUCAUUGGGCGUAAAGGGCGCGUAGGUGGCCCGGUCAGUCCGUGGUGAAAGCGCGGGGCUCAACCCUGCGUCGGCCAUGGAUACUGCCGCGGCUCGAGCACUGUAGAGGCAGGCGGAAUUCCGGGUGUAGCGGUGGAAUGCGUAGAGAUCCGGAAGAACACCGGUGGCGAAGGCGGCCUGCUGGGCAGUAUGGCUGACACUGAGGCGCGACAGCGUGGGGAGCAAAC
rnacentral:rRNA from 1 species